UGAGUUUGAUCCUGGCUCAGGACGAACGCUGGCGGCGUGCCUAAUACUGCAAGUCGAGCGAAUCUUUAGGAGCUUACUCCUAAAGGUUAGCGGCGGACGGGUGAGUAACACGUGGGCAACCUGCCUAUAAGACUGGGAUAACUUCGGGAAACCGGAGCUAAUACCGGAUAAUCCAUUCCCUCUCAUGGGGGAAUGCUGAAAGAUGGUUUCGGCUAUCACUUACAGAUGGGCCCGCGGCGCAUUAGCUAGUUGGUGAGGUAACGGCUCACCAAGGCAACGAUGCGUACCGACCUGAGAGGGUGAUCGGCCACACUGGGACUGAACACGGCCCAACUCCUACGGGAGGCAGCAGUAGGAAUCUUCCGCAAUGGACGAAGGUCUGACGGAGCACGCCGCGUGAGUGAUGAAGGCCUUCGGUCUAAAGCUCUGUUGUUAGGGAAGAACAAGUAUCGGAGUAACUGCCGGUACCUUGACGGUACCUAA
rnacentral:rRNA from 1 species